rnacentral:rRNA from 1 species
AGAGUUUGAUCCUGGCUCAGAGUGAACGCUGGCGGCGUGCUUAACACAUGCAAGUCGAACGAGAACAGAAGAGAGCUUGCUCUCUUGCUGCUAAGUGGCGCACGGGUGAGUAAUGUAUAGGUAAUAUGCCUCUUACUAAGGGAUAAUUGAUGGAAACGUCUUGUAAUACCUUAUAUGCCUUUUGAACAUAAGUUCGUAAAGGGAAAGAUUUAUCGGUAAGAGAUUAGCCUGUAUGGUAUCAGUUAGUUGGUGGGGUAAUGGCCUACCAAGACUAUGACACCUAACUGGUUUGAGAGGAUGAUCAGUCACACUGGAACUGAGACACGGUCCAGACUCCUACGGGAGGCAGCAGUGGGGAAUAUUGCACAAUGGACGAAAGUCUGAUGCAGCAACGCCGCGUGGAGGAUGACACAUUUCGGUGCGUAAACUCCUUUUAUAUGAGAAGAUAAUGACGGUAUCAUAUGAAUAAGCACCGGCUAACUCCGUGCCAGCAGCCGCGGUAAUACGGGGGGUGCAAGCGUUACUCGGAAUCACUGGGCGUAAAGAGCAUGUAGGCGGGUGAAUAAGUUGGAAGUGAAAUCCUAUAGCUUAACUAUAGAACUGCUUCCAAAACUGUUCACCUAGAGUAUGGGAGAGGUAGAUGGAAUUUCUGGUGUAGGGGUAAAAUCCGUAGAGAUCAGAAGGAAUACCGAUUACGAAGGCGAUCUACUGGAACAUUACUGACGCUCAGAUGCGAAAGCGUGGGGAGCAAACAGGAUUAGAUACCCUGGUAGUCCACGCCCUAAACGAUGUACACUAGUUGUUGCUAUACUAGAUAUGGCAGUAAUGCAGU